rnacentral:lncRNA from 1 species
CCCGGUAUAGCAAGGUAAACUGAGCUCCCCAGAGGCGCAUCUCCUGCCCUCUGCUUGGACUUAGCCUUCUCUCCAUCUGCCACCACAGCCUGGAGGCGCUUGCCUCCACCCUCCCGAAUGGUGCUCCUCUUCACAGGUGUCGGCCCAGGAUCCAGGCCCCCUUUGCUCCCUGAGUUGGAGCUGUUGCUGUUGGGGUCUCUUGGUGGACUCCCCGUGGUGGGGUGUGAAGAACUUUUGCACAGACGAGGCUUUAGUUAUAGGGACCUCAUCAGCAGUUUGAAUCUCAGCCUCUAACUGAAUGCCAGGCUCCUCUGUGCUCCUUCUUUUCAACCUUUGAGACUAGAAGACCCUUCUCUAUUACAUCCAAAGCCCAGGAAGCCUCAAGCUGGGGCCCUGGUCCCAGCAUGUCAGCCCUCUCUUGUGCAUAGGGCUCUGCCCUCUUCCAGCCAACAUGGCUGACCUCAAAAAGUCUCCAGGGGGCCGGGAGACACCACAGGGGGAACUUCGGCCAGAAGUGGUAGAGGACGAAGUCCCUAGGAGCCCUGUCGAAGAGGAGCCUGGAGGAGGUGGAAGCAACAGCAGUGAGACCAAAUUGUCCCCU